rnacentral:rRNA from 1 species
CCUACGGGUGGCAGCAGUGAGGAAUAUUGGUCAAUGGACGAGAGUCUGAACCAGCCACGUAGCGUGAAGGAUGACUGCCCUAUGGGUUUUAAACUUCUUUUAUAUGGGAAUAAAAUGUUCUACGGUUGGAAUUUUGUAUGUACCAUAUGAAUAAGGAACGGCUAACUCCGUGCAAGCAGCCGCGGUAAUACGGAGUAUCCGAGCGUUAUCCGGAUUUAUUGGGUUUAAGGGGAACGUAGGUGGAUUGUUAAGUCAGUUGUGAAAGUUUGCGGCUCAACCGUAAAAUUGCAGUUGAAACUGGCAGUCUUGAGUACAGUAGAGGUGGGCGGAAUUCGUGGUGUAGCGGUGAAAUGCUUAGAUAUCACGAAGAACUCCGAUGGCGAAGGCAGCUCACUGGACUGCAACUGACACUGAGGCUCGAAAGUGUGGGUAUCAAACAGGAUUAGAUACCCGUGUAGUC